rnacentral:rRNA from 1 species
UACGUAGGGUGCAAGCGUUAAUCGGAAUUACUGGGCGUAAAGCGUGCGCAGGCGGUUAUAUAAGACAGAUGUGAAAUCCCCGGGCUCAACCUGGGAACUGCAUUUGUGACUGUAUAGCUAGAGCACGGUAGAGGGGGAUGGAAUUCCGCGUGUAGCAGUGAAAUGCGUAGAUAUGCGGAGGAACACCGAUGGCGAAGGCAAUCCCCUGGACCUGUACUGACGCUCAUGCACGAAAGCGUGGGGAGCAAACAGG